GUGGGAGCGAGAGGCCUCAUUUAUGGCUUUAGACUGGAUGCACAUGCGGUACUGCUCGGGGGUCAGCUCAUCAGCACAGCGUUUUUCAGGCCAGAGGUGGAAAAGACCAGUAACCGGAGUCCAAAUCACAAUGAGGUCACCAUGCAGUCACCCUGGGUUAAAUGUGGUGUGCAGGUCUGUGUUGGAGUGGAUAUACAGCUUUCUGCUGGACCCUGCUGACACUGGCAAAAGUGAA
rnacentral:lncRNA from 1 species